rnacentral:rRNA from 1 species
CUACAGAACGAACGCUGGCGGCGCGUUUUAAGCAUGCAAGUCGAGCGGCAAGGGCCUUCGGGCCCCUAGAGCGGCGGACGGGUGAGUAACACGUGGACAAUCUGCCCCCGGCCCGGGAUAGCCCAGGGAAACCUGGAUUAAUACCGGAUGAGACGGGACCUGCGAUGGCGGGAUCCGGGAAAGGCGCUACGGCGCCGCCGGGGGAUGAGUCUGCGUCCCAUUAGCUAGACGGCGGGGUAACGGCCCACCGUGGCGACGAUGGGUACGCCGGCCUGAGAGGGUGGACGGCCACAUUGGAACUGAGACACGGUCCAGACUCCUACGGGAGGCAGCAGCUAAGAAUCUUCCGCAAUGGGCGAAAGCCUGACGGAGACCGGACGCCGCGUGAACGAAGAAGGUCCGUGAGGUUGUAAAAGUUCUUUUCGGGAGGGGGAACAACCGUGGCUAGGGAAUGGCCGCGGGAUGACGUGAAUCCCGGAAUAAGCCCCGGCUAACUACGUGCCAGCCGCCGC